UACGGGGGAGCAAGCGUUGUUCGGAUUUACUGGGCGUAAAGGGCGCGUAGGCGGCGUAACAAGUCACUUGUGAAAUCUCCGGGCUUAACUCGGAGCGGUCAAGUGAUACUGUUGUGCUAGAGUGCGGAAGGGGCUACUGGAAUUCUCGGUGUAGCGGUGAAAUGCGUAGAUAUCGAGAGGAACACCUGCGGCGAAGGCGGGUAGCUGGGCCGACACGUGACGCUGAAGCGCGAAAGCUAGGGGAGCGAACGGG
rnacentral:rRNA from 1 species